GUCGGAUGAUGAAUGUGUUUAUCCAUUCUCUGAGUGCGGCAGGUUCGGACCCUCUGCGGCCCCUUCGGUUCGUUCUGGACCGUGGGGUUCUGGUGGCCCGUUCCUCCAGUUUCCUGCUGUUUCAGUGGGUUGGAGGUUCUGGCCAGCGGGUGCAGAGGGACCAGACUGGCCCCGACAAAGACGAACGGACAUAUCUGAUCAC